rnacentral:pre_miRNA from 1 species
CCAGUCGUAGCCGAUGUUCCACAGCAGGGGGCGCAGGACAGACCCCUGCGGAACACCGCGCUCGACCGG